rnacentral:lncRNA from 1 species
UAUCAGCUCAUACAGUUGUCCUGAAGAAUGGGAUAAAUAAUAAUUGCUUUGUAUAGUUCCAGAGUUAAGGACUUGGCUAGGGGACUUGCUGCAGUCAACCAUGCUUGUUUACCAAGUAGCCUGUCCAGUGCUGUCUUAAUCCCACAGGAGCCUCGUUCCCUGGAAGUGUCAGGACUUCAGAUGUCAGCUCAGCCUCUAAAUUCAGGGUUGGAAUUCUCAACUAUUUGCUUGUCCGAAUUGAUGCUUUUGAACUGUGGUGUUGGAGAAGACUCUUGAGAGUCCCUUGGACUGCAAGGAGAUCCAACCAGUCCAUUCUGAAGGAGAUCAGCC